GCCGGCGGCCGGGCGCGGCGCAGCGGUACCGCCGGCGGGCCCCGAGGGCUCCCCCUGGCAGCCCGAGCUCCUCGGCCAGCCGAAGGCCAGGGCGGCUGGGGAAUUACCCGGUCAGAGCCAGUGCUAUCCCCAAAAGCGGGCUCGUUCGCCCGGUGCGCAAAACGGCGAACCCCACACAGAGCGGAGGGAUUCCGCGCCGCUCGUGUUUGCCCCAGGAUGGGUGCGAGGGGGUGCCUCCGCAAAGCUAGCACCCCGCACCGAGAAGCUACAAGGUGUUUGUACAGUUAAAGGUGUCAACAACAGCUAAUAUUCACACCCCCAGCUAAGAACUGCUCCUGGGCACAGAGACCAGCAGCGCAAGCAUGAGAGAAACAGCCAGGUGGGACCGGGAGUCCCAGGGCAGAGCUCUGCAAUCCCAAGAAAUCCCUGGCAGAAACGCCAGUGCCUGGAGCCAGCAGGACCAACCUUGUCUUACAUCAGCAAUGCCACCGCUGCCCCUUGCAGCCCCAACUCCAGACCACUCCUCCCAUGUCACUCACAGCUCCAAGGCCACUGUGGGGCUGGAGUGGCUUUUCCUUGACAUGCAAGUGAAGCAGAGAUGGGCUCGGAUCUGAAACUUCUCUAGAGCAGGGAAGCCCCAAAGUCACAGCCCCUGCUCAGCCCACCACCAUUUCACCGAGCAAGCUGUUGGGGAAACACGAAGCCAAGUUACAAGACAAAGAAUAAAAGUCCCAGGGGAACGUCACCAGCAUAGUCUUCUCCACACAUGCAAAGGUCCCUUCUGCUUUUUUUUUCUCCCCUUUGAAAUUUCAAAUUCCAGUUUGUGGACAAAGUCCUGCCUAUCUGAGAAUAUAGAUCUCCGACCACUGACCAAACUCCACUCCAAGCAGUCCCGAGGGCUGCUCUUCCCCUUGCCCACGGAUGCCUCCGCUCAGUCCCCAGAUCUGCCAGGAUUGUGCCGAAACUUUUGCACUGGAGCAGAGCUCUCAUACGUGCACAAAGUGGAUUUUGCACGUUUCAACCUUAACGUCAGCAGCUCCCUUUCUCCACGCGGAACGUGAAGGACCAUUGGGAAUAACCAGGUAGGAGCCUUAUCACCUGCAAUUCAUUCGGGCAGCCAUUGCAGGUAGAAAAUGAGAAGAAGAAACAAGGGCUUCCAUUGUGCUUACACCAGCAGUUUUAGCUCAUCAUUUAAACUAGGGAAGGGGGAAAAAAGGCAGCUCUGGAGGGGAUGGAAAACGAGAGAGAACAUGAGCUCGUGGAGGCAGAGCCACUCCGUAUGGUUAACUGAUAACUCCAAUUUGCCUCUUCCCUCUCAUCUUUUCUGAUUCUCCCGAUUAAGGUCAACUUAUUCUCAUGCUAAUAAUUUCUUGGCCUGUUUAUUCAGCAUUAAAAAAUUAACAGAGAGCAGUUUACUGCAUGACUUGCUCACACAGAACUGCUACAGAUUAGCAGGCAGGUUUUAAGCCUCUGUGCAAGACUUUUGGGUCUAGCAGCCAGUCCGCACAGCUCGAGGAUGAACUUAUUUUCCUGUUUUUAAAGAACAGCUUUUUCUAAAGUCAAUAUAAAUCCCCCUCCCUUCAUGCCUUAAGUAUAUUUGCUCUGUGACUAUUUCCAAAUGGGAAAGAUAAAGCCAAGGGCUUGUGUUUUGUCAGACUUUUUGUAAACAGGGAUAUUUAGGCCACACUGUCAAACCCUUCUGCCUUCUGCCUCGGCAUGCCAUGACUCCAGAGCAGAGAUGUCAGUGUGUUAAUAAGCAUCUCCAAGGGAUUUCGCAGGGGCUGGGGGGCUACAGGUCAAUGCAGCUGAAACAAGCCCCCAGUUCAAAUGGCAGAUCUUUGCCUCCACUCUGGGCAAUCAUAUGAUGGACACACAGACAGGGAUCUGCUCCCGUGUCUGUCCCCAGAAUGUCCCCAGCAGCAGCAAGAACUCUCCAGGAAAACAGAUGAUUCAGCAGAAGUUGUUUAGGGUCUGUUUGCCCUGCCAGCUGCACACAGCAUGUCCCUGCCCUGGCAAAACACUUUGUGGAGGUGAACCAGAAAGAUCCACCACCUCCAUCCAGGGAGGUGGAUCAGAAAGAUCCAGCCCUGAGAGGCAGUAGAUGAUCACAGCCACGUGCCAGACCUGUGCCUGGGUGACAACGCAGGCAUUUUAUCAGCCUGUUCAACAACAAAUGGUGAUUUAUUUUCCCCAGCACUGAAGUGCCUGUCGCUGUGGCUGGGACAAAUGCUGUUUGGAGAUGAGGGUGAUGCCCAGGACAGGUGAUGCCUGAGCAGACCCCGGACACGCUGGUGAGCUUGUGACGUACAGUGGCACCCAGGGCUCCCCGGCACAGCUGAGGGUGACAGAGGCAGAUUCCCUGCAACCUCAGGCUAUUUCUCACCAGUGCCAAAGUUAUCAAGAAGUGGCCAAAGCACCCAGAACCAUCCAGGCCUCCUGGCCAUAAAAUCACUGUAUGGAGAAUGAAGGCAGGUUUUGGACAUGGGGAAGAGACACUUCAAACCAGGCAGCAGACUGUGCAUGAACUCCUCUCCAAAAGCAACAUGUGCAUUUCAGCCGAAGCUGGAUGGAUGUUGGAGCUGAAGGCAAUUAUUGGAGCUAAAAUAAAUAACUGCUAUGCAAAAAUGGUAGGGAAAGAACUACAAACACGGGGACAGACAGACCUUUUCAGCAUAUACUGCUCUAGCGAUAACACUGUGUGUGCGUUUCAUCCCAGGACCAGAAAUGAGUUUAUUAUCCUGCCUAACAAAGGCUCUGAACACUUGAGGAAGUAAUUAUUAUUACUCUUGGGACCUAUUGUUCUGCAAGGACAGUAAGUUUGAGCUGUUCUUAGAAAGCCAGCUGUGCUCGAAAAUGCCAAUGCAUUUGCUGGUGUGUAUUUGCAAUCACUCUGCCUUCCUUCAGCCCUCGAAAACAGCAUCUGUCCUCUGGGACUUGCAGGUUGGCACUUGUGACUCUGGAAAUCUGGCUGCUGUGUUUUUACGCAAAAUCACACAAUGAGCCCAAGACCAAACGAGGAAGAGGAACUGUUAGAUUCAUUUUCUUCCAUUACUCCACAGGCUGAAACUUGGCCCAAGCUACAGCUCCCACUGUUGAUCCUGCUUGCCCCAUCCAAACCCUACACUGCAAGCAUUGUACUUCAUCCAAACCCCAACCCAACAGAGACCCAGACACUUUCCAGCAAAACACUCCUGCCUAUUUGGGAGGAAAUCCAGAAGAACUCUGACUUUGCCAUGUGCUGUUCCAGACUCACUGUCUACACUGGCAAAUGCUCAGCUCAAAUCCAGUGGUUUAAGCCCUGUUUAAAUGGGAGAGUAGAAGCCAUGGGAAAGCAGCAGUGCUGGAGAAAGUCUCUGUUGCCUUCCAUGCCUCACCAGGAUGUUUAGUGUGGCAGGGACCUCAGCAACCCACAUCUGGACCUGGAGAGAACUUGUUUAGCAGGUGAAUGUGAUCUUUUUGGAACUGAAGCAAUCUUGCCGCUUCCCAGGAAAAAGAUCCCUACUAAGCUCACAGUCUGGCAGGCAAGCAAAUCACUCCCUUCACCCCUGCCAGCUGUUUGCUGGGCUUUUAUGUUUCAUCGACUUUAUACAUUUGUUAUACACAUACCGAACAGCCCCUGAAUCGUUCCAGCUGGUGGAGCAAUAGGUGGAGGAGGAGAACAGCCAAAAUCAACAAAGGUUACAAAGCAAGUUUUACCUUUUUUAAAAUUAAUUUUAUCUUUCUGUGAAGGUGGAUGCAUCAGCAUGCCAUGCCUGCUGGAAGUGACCUCCAGUUGCUGCUGUGGCUCUCAGCACCAGUCCUUGCUAGAAAUUAAGGCAAAAGGCUACAAAGCUGCUGGGGGUGUGGAGGGAGAGCUGCAGUGGGGCAAGGGCAGCAGAGGGACGGUCUGAGCCCAUGUCCCCAGAGGAAGGCAAGCCAAGGGCUCCGCAAGGGCAAAAAGUAUCUUCCUGAAUCAGGCAGUUGCGGGCUGCUGUAGCUGCCCUCCUUGUGCCCCGGGCUGGCAAAGUCAGCUCCAGCUGGGGAGCUGAACUUUAGGGGAGCAUCUCAGGAAAGGGCCACGUGUGUAUCUGGCGGGAGGCAGCAGGAGGAAGGGGGAAGGCUGCUGAGGGUGGGAGCAUUGGUCAGGUCUGAGCUGGAAAAGGUAGGCUGGGCAUGGAAAAGAAAAUUAAAAAUGGGUGGUAAGUUAAAAUUUGAGAGAUUCUGGUUUCUGGAGUCAGAAGGGAACAAGUUAGUGCAAAAUGGUUUUUCUCCGCAGGAGUGUGCAGGGUGCCUGAAUAGCCUGUCUUGUCCCCAGUGUCCUCAAUCAUCAGAGCACAGCAAGUGCCAGAGGAGUAAGUGGGAGUAAAACAGGCCUCAGGAGCUCCAAGUCCACAGCAGCUUUGCAUGCCAGCAGCCCAUGGCCACCACAGCGCUCUCCUAUGCAACACAACAUCCUGUCUACUGCCACAGAAACAAAAAAACACAGCAGAAAGCGAGGUAUGGGGACAUCGGAGCUUUCUACAUGCAAGGUUUGUUGCAUUGGGGACAGCAAGGUGGGGAGGCGAUCACACAUCUCCACAGUCCCAUAAACCCAUGGCCAGGACAGAGCAGUGCAACUGCCUGGCUCCUGGCUGACAAUCAACAUGGCAAACUGCUAAUUAGCCUUUGAGUAUUCGACCUAUGUCUCCAAGAGAGGAUAACACUAUUAUUUGUCCCUUUACACUCCUGCAAGGCCCAGUGCCAUUGGCCUCUUGUAUAAUAAAGAAAUUAAAAUAUAUCAUGAUCAUAAACUACAUCAUUUGAGGAAAUGAACCAUUUCUAGCAAACAUAUCAUGGGACGCCAAAGCCAUGAACUUUUCUAAAUCAAUCACCAGCUGAUAAAGAGCGCAGGUAUUUGCUGGGAGCAGGUCCCAACACGUGGCUCCCUGCACAGCACUGGUUUGGGGACCUCAUCCCGCGGUAUGGUGGCUCAGGGUGCAGGCUGCCUCAGGAGUCACAAACCCCACUGCCAGCACAAGCCCUGCUUGGGGGGAAUUGCUUAAGCAGGAGGAGCCCCAGGACUUUUGCUGUGCCCCAGGGGUUGCGCAGAGGCUGGUGGGGUCUUUUGUGGAUGAGGCUCUGCAAGGCACAGCAGUCCAGGGCUCGGGAUGCUCAAAACAUGUCCAAGUGCCUGCAAACCCCCCCACAGAACCCUGAGGCCAGCCAGCCUCCUCGCUGCCUCACCUUCAUGCCAGGGUCCCCAUGGGUGCUGGGGCUGAGGGGCUGAGCACAGAGGUGGGGGACCUGCACUGGAGGGAGCCGCAGAGGGGCACCCAGAAAACCUUUCUAGUGAGAGCUCUGUGCAACCGAUAAGGUUUGCAUUCAAAGUGUUUUUCUCUUAGUUGUUUUUAAGCUUACAUUAUGAGGGCUGAGUAAGCCCUGCUGCAGACCUCUUUGGCUAGGGAGCAGGCGGGAAAGAGGGCAGGGCCUGAGGUUGCGCUGCAAGCUGGCAGGAUAUGUCCCUGGCCCUACCGAGGCUGCAGCAUGGGGCAAUAAUUCCAGACACUGGGAACUGGGCUGAGAACGAACAAUUAAUUUCCCAAACAGUGCAAGCAGUCACUGGGGUGUCCAUGGGAUGCUAGCUCAGCUCCACCACCUCUUCCCCCAGGAGUCCCAGCACCUGCUCCACCAUGCCACCCACAUUGGGGUACCUCUCUCGAGAGCCCCAGAACUGAGCUUGGGAUCAUCAGCCAUCGCUACCCAUAAUCCUGGCACGUUCACUCUGCACAAAGCAAGAGAAACCAGAUACUUGGGGGUCCCCUCAGAUGGGGACCAGCAAUACAUAUGUGGGGGAUGAGCAUAUUUUGGCUGCUCCAAAAUCCCAGUGGAGCCACCGUGGUGGGGUUGCCAAUGCCCUUCAUUCACAAAACCUUUGCAGCACUGGCUACGCAGCUACUUCUCUCUCCAGUGCGAGUGCUGGGGGGGUGUGGGGGGUACCUGGUGUUUCCUGGAGCAGGUCGUGUCUGCUGCCAUUCAUCUUCCAGGGGUGCUCAGCUCUGCGGGCAGAGCUAGGGUAGUCUCGCCCUGGGACAGGGCUGUCCAGCCAGUGAGCCCCCCAUGGGCUGCCGGGCAUGAGCCAUGCCCGGGAGCUGGCUGUGGUGUGGCAGCAGGGACCAGCUAAUCCGUUAAUGCUGGUCACAAUGAGAUUUGAUGGGAACCAGGAGUUUGUGCUGCAGAGCCGCAGGUUUUAAAGGGUUCUGACCACUACUUGGAGGGGAAUUAUAAGGUGGCUCCAGGUUUGCACCCCACUGCUGAUGCCCGCAGCAAUGCCCACUGCUUUCUGGGCCACCUUUCUGAGGUGCCCUCACCCUGGCCUGUGACCUGCCGCUGCACUUCUGUGGGGCUGCACAUGCAGCUCUGGAAAACAUGCCUGGGUGUGUUUAACAGCAGGAGUGGGUCUGACUCCCUCCCUGGGAAGAGGCUGGCUGCUUACUCUUUAAAGUGUUUCUAUAUAAAUACCCAGAACACCAUAUCCUUGAGAAACAAAACCUUUGUCUCCCCUCCUAGCCACCAUCACGACAGGCGGGACCAGGACAAGCAAGGACGAAGCAGGGUAGCAGGCAGGGAGCUGCACACGUGGUGCUCCCCAUCUCUGGGCAGCCCUGAGCUUUGUGUCCUGCAGAGCCCAGAGAGCAUCUCCAAUGGUUCAAACCACUCCAGGAGCAUCAUGCUAGAGCUCUCCCAUGGCUCCAUGGGAGCUUGCCUGCUCUGUGCUGGUGGCCUCCUCUCCCCAUCCUCUCCCAUGGAGAACAGGACCUGGAAAAUUCUCAGGGCUGAGAUUUCUUAAUCAAUUGUUGCACAUCGGUGCUGUCGAUGCGGAAUCCAGGAGCCUCCACGUCCCAGGCAGCCUGAGAUUUCAGCUAGUACCUUGCACCACGGCCCGGACAAGGCAAGUCCAGCAGGAAGAAAAGGGAUUUUCUAACUGCCAGGCUACAAGAAACCCCUCUCUGCCACCACAGCACUGCACUCUCUGCUUUCUUUGCUGGUGGUGAAGCUGCUGUGACAGUCUUGUGUUGACUCAUUUGGCCUCAGUCUAGGAGAGAGUGUGGAGGCUGCUGAGCACUGAGAUAUUUCUCCUCUGCAGGGAAUAUGUGCUGGUAUGUGCGGCCCUGCUUAGCCCAGAGGAGGAAAAUUAGGUGAGGGAUUAGAGUGGCACUUCACUGGGUUUUCACAGGCACUGAGUAAUGAAUUGAAUGCUGAAAGGGAGAACUGGGCAUCUGUGCAAUGCAGCCCUGUGCUGCACAGCUCUGGCCCCGACCAGGGCUGGGAGUGAGUGUGGCCUUGCUCAGCCUCUGUGCCUGGAGGAACUGACUGUGAGGCCAAGCCCAUCUGAAACACCCAUUUUCCUGCACUUUCCUUCCUCCUUGGAUGGCUUUCCUCCUGCCAAGCCCGCCUUUACUUUUGCUGUGCCAAGGAGCAGAGAGCUUGUUCCUGCCCUCCAGAGAUAUCCAACCCCAAGCGCCGUCUCAAAGGCAUAAGUCUAAUGGAGGAAAACUUUUCCUAAACCAUUCCUGUCCUGUCUCCGUGAGCCUCUGUUCCCACCCAGGGCUGCCCGGGGUGCAUUUGAAUUAAUUUGGAGAGCAAACAGCUGCCAGCAGCUUCCAGAAGGCUCCUGAAGGGAUGGGGAAUGACCAGCAGGUCCAUACUUCAUCUAUAUGCCUGGGGAAGGGGUGCCCCGACAACAGAGGCACAUGCCCAGUAUGACAGCACGGAGCAGGGAGCAACAUCGAAGGCAGGGCCAGUUCUGAACUGUGUGUAACCCCGUGACAUCUCCCUUCACCCCUUUGUUUCCACACCGGUUUUAACGCCUGUAACAGGAAACACACCCAAGUCAACAGAGGUUUCUCCCAGACGGUGGCAGUCCCUGGGCACACACCCGUGGAUGAGCCAUGGGCAGCACCCAGCUCUGCUUCCGCCAGGGUGUUCACACAGUGGCAAAGCCACCACCUCCAUCCCGCCACCAUUUAGUCCUUGAAGGCAGCAGCCUGCAGGCAGGGGAGCAGCCAGGGCUGUGGGUCUGAAGGCCAGCUGUUUGUCCCCUUGCCCCUCCUGCCUCCUUAUUCCGCCCUUCAUUUCCUGCUGCUGCCUUUGCCCUGCCAACGCCAGGCUUUCUGCAUGGGCUGGUUCCCUUGGGUGCCCAUCGGUGCCCACCUCUCCCUGCCAGGGCACCUUGACCUGGCUGAGACUGCCCGUCCCUGGGGCAGGACCUGCGCCUGCUCACGAGCCACAGUGGCUGCAAGCGAGCGGCCACGCAGCUCGCUGGAUGGGGACCUGCAGCACGAGCAGGGCUUUUUCCUAUAGGGUGGUUGCUCGUUUGUGCUUUCCGCUGAGCCCCUCAGUGUUGCCCUGUCCAUUAACCUGACACCCCACCCAGCCUCACAGUCCACGGCCAAAUUUCCAUGGGUGAUGUUAGCACCAGUGAAUCCUCUUCCCGAGCUGGGCUGCUGCUUUUCACCGGGGGUGGUGGGGUGGACCCUGCCACCCCAAUGGAGGGGACAGUGUGGGAUGCAGGACUUGCCCGGUUGGCUGGAAGCUGGGGGCAGGCUGGCACACUGAAGAGGAGCAGCAGCAGCUUCUUAUCACAGGGUGCCAUGGCUUUGGGGACCAUGUGGCAAAAUGACAAGCCUCCCCUGGGAGCAGAGGGGGAGAGAAGUGGCUGAGCGGGGUGGGAAGAGCCAGGUUCUGCAGCCUCCGUGAAAGGCACUGGGCCAUAAACGCGGCACAGUGGCUGUCAUUUAUGUCGGCAAACACGUCGAGUAGGCUCGACUAUUGAUUCUGACCAUAUAAAAGAGUGUUGUGGCACUUGUUCAGGUUUGCGCAGGUUUUACAGCUCUUGUUCUGAGAAGUACCCAUGUAUUUGGUUUUGCUCCUUCCUUCAGGUCUAUCUGUUGACACUGCCUCUCCUAACCAGAGCGUUCGGCCGUGCCAGGAAGCUGAGUGUAUGGCUCUCCCUGCGUUUCCCAUUUUCCCAGGGGUUGUCUUCUAUAAAAUCUUGCACACACCCAUGACUGGGACAGGUUUCUGGUGCAGAGGCAAGUGAAAGGUGCCCACCGGUCCCAUGUUGGUGGGUUUGGGUACCCCACACUCGGUGGCAGGAGCUGAGCCACCCAUCCUGAUGGAUGAGUUUUAGGGUAGAUGGACAAAGCUGUGGGUAAGGUGCUGCCCUGGGCAGCCUGGGCAGGAUAAGCAAGGUGAGAAAUCUGUAGGGCUGUGAUGAAAAUCAGGGUGUCAAAGUAGCUUGGGUGUCCAGAGAGGGAAAAGGUGUCAGAGCUCCCAGAGCAUCACCACAGAGGAGAUGGCCCAAGCAUGAUGACCCACAGCACAAGGCCCAUAGUAUUCCUGUUCCCCACCUUCACUCUUCCCACCUGGAGGUGUCAGUAUUGGCCAUUGGUGCUGGGGGCUCUGAGGGCUUGAGCCCACAGUGAUCGCCCCCAUCCACCCCUCAGCACUGGGCUCUUGGUACCGCGGGGCUGCAGAUGGAGUCCCUCCAGUGGCUUUUGGGAUAAAAAGUCCAGUCCAGCUGUGCAGACCCGCAGCUUUUUAGAGCCAGGAUCCAUCCGCUCCACAGCUGCUGGUGCCUUUCCACAGCUGCUCGCUCUGCAAGGAGCUGCUCCUCUUGCAGCUUUGGUGCCUCAUCCAGAGCUCACCAUUAUUUUUUGAGGCAUGUAUUUCCUGAAGGGAUUUGCUGGGUAAUUUCUGUUGAUGCUCAAGCUGAAGCUUGGACAUGAGCUGUUCCUGGGAGUAAUUGCUUUUGGGACUCGGCUAAGCUCAGAGGCCCCAGUGGGAAUGUGGUGCCUCUGCCCAGCGCAGGCAAGCAGAGCCAUCAGCCCUGGGUUCAUGAUACAGCCACUACCUUGAAAUUUGCCUUCCAUGAAAAUUCUGCAACAUUUGCCGUUUCCACAAACAUUUCUGCCAGGAACCUUGUUUGCUUGAAUAUUUGAGGAAAGCAAACAAAGAAGGAGCCUGAACACAAAGAGUCAUGGACAGGUUUUUUGCAGUCUUUGCCCUGUUCUAACCCCAAGCCUGCCAGCAGAGACACUUGCAGGUGUCCCCCCUGCCCGAUGUACCCCUUGGCUCUGCCUUAUGCACCCCCACGUUCCCCGCUGCUGGCCCUGGUCCUGCUGCAAAUAUUGUUGUAUUUAAAAGAAAAUUGCCCAGACUUUGCGGUCUACAGAACCACCACUACUCAUCACCCCUUUGCACUCACUUUAAAUAAAAAUAACUUUUUAAUGGCAUUUAAGAAGUGUCAGCAGAAAACUAACUGAGCAUGUCCCUGUGAGGGGUGGCCUGCAGACCCACACCUGCGCUGCGGAGCUCAAAACAGCUCUCAGACACUCCUCAAACCCUCCCCAGCCUCAUGCCGCUUGCCUCCCAGAGCUGGAGCUCAUUACCUGCUGAUAGCAGCCCUCUGUGCUCACUCCCCCUUAUAAAAAUACCAUCAUGUUUUCGAGCAAAGCCAAAGACGAGGGUGUGCUGCUGGCCCGAUAAGCAGACGGGGUGAGGCGGCUGUCCCGGAGCAGUGGAAGUCGCAGCCCUACAGGCAAGUGUAGCCACCCCAUGACACUGAGCCACAUCCGUGCAGCCCCCCACGACGGGGGGGGGACUUCCCCCCCCCAUCCCGAGCUUUUUCCCAAGGACACCUCCACCAAGCACGAGCAAACAGCACUCAGGAUCAGGCCAAGGUGGCUAAAGCAGUGAUUGUCCCUUUUGCAUCCCAUCCAAAUAGCAGUGCUUAUCCCUGGAUGCAGCAAGACCUUGCUCAGCUGUUUCUUGCCCUGGUAAGUGCUGACCCUGCCAGCACCAGUGUCACGGCCUCUCCCAGCAUCCGGCGGGGACGGUGGGAGUGGGGACAAGGAAGGAGGUUAUGCCGGGUGUCCUAACACCCACCAGUUCCCGACAGCCUCUGGGCCAUGGACGCAGAAUAUAAGGUGUAAACAGAGGUAAUAAAUAGCAGGUGACAUGAGAAAUCAAGGCGAAAAAGCUUAGUUUGGGUCAUAUCUAGGGGAAAUCUAUAAAAAAUCCGGUCUAUUUGGCAAUGAAAAAUAAUUCUUUCACAGUGAAAAAUAAAAAUACUCAGAAAUUCUGCCUUUUCUUAUGUUCUUCAGCUGAAACUAUUCACCACACCUGACUAAAAUGCCCAAGCAGCUCUGACGUCUCGCAUUUUUCAGAGAAUUUCCAAAGCUGCUUUACUGAGCUGGCCCCAUCAUGCUCUGGACCCUGCUGUAACCACCAGCCCCAAGGAUCCCCAGCUCUGACAGCAGCUCCUGAAAUACGAAGGAGCAGUGUUCCCUGCCCUGGGUUUGAGGACAAUUGCCUGGAUUGCACCCAAGUCUCUUUGGGUGGAUAAAGGUGGAGCCAGGGACUCAUGACCAUCUCACUGCCUGGGAGAGGACCAUCCCUUCACCCCCUCUCCAUCCCCUACCCGCUCUCACACCCAUUUCAGCCUCCCCUGGCAUUAAACAGCAGUGUGCUUGGAGGAGACCAUUCCAGCUCUUGGCCCAUCCUCAGCAGGUGCUGGUGAGGAUGCUGACUGUGCCCCAAGCUCCGCAGCUCUCCGGUAGCUGCAGCAUCACUCCCUUCUCACCCAGGGACCCACGCAGGGUGCUGGGGACAGGACACCUUUGUCACCGCCUGGCAGGGUGUCCUCCAAGUCCUAUACACAAGGCACAAGACUGAUGGGAGGGAAAUAAGUGCCCCCAGGGAAUGGUUUAGGGGGAAAACUGGUGGCAGUUUGGGGCAGGGAUAGAUGGGGAGGGUUUGCAGUAACUGCAGCAGGGGGAUGCCCCCCUCUCUGCUUUUAUGGAUGCCACUGCUGCAAAGAGUGGGCUAGACCUUCUUGUCCUGAGGCCAAGUGCCGGUGCCCAGCUUUCCCUUUAGAAUAUAUCCCUGGCUUCAAAUGGGUGCUGAAAUACUGAAGCCUCUGAGCUGGAUAGGAAGACGGAAAAAUCAGAAAUACUGAAAAUGACCCCUCCAAGGCUGAAGGCUUGUCUGGUGGAACCUGAUGUGCAUCUGCCAGCUGAGCCCCGGCAAUGCCAGUGCAAUGCCAGCUGGAGUGGCCCGUCCUGCCAAGGGCCAGGAGCCAGCCGGCCAUGAGGGCAGCGAUGGCAAGCACGGCUGGGGGUCAGUGCUGCCACCGCUGUGUGGAGCACCCUCAUUGCUUUACAAGGGAAUAAACUUCCCUGUGACCCUGGGAAGGAUUCAGCCACCACUUUGCCGUCAGCCCCACAGCGCAUCCCAGCUGCUGUGCCCAACCUGCCGCCCAGCCCAGCCCAGCCCCAGCCCUGCGGUGCCGCAGGCUGCCUGGGAAGCCAGGCGCUGCCUGGUCCCCCAUCCUCGCCAGCGUUCCUCACCUCUAUUUGUAUAACUUUUUCACCUGUUUUAUUUAUGAGGAUUCCCCUCCUUCUGCCAAUAGUCUGAGUUUCCUCUUGCUUUGGUCUGGGAGGCCCAUCUCACUUUUUUAUUCUUAUUUUUCCCUCUCCCCCU